rnacentral:lncRNA from 1 species
CAGCCAGGCAGAGGGUCAGAACAUAUUGUUUGGAUAAAGGGCAGGUUGUUUUACAUUUCUAACCCUAACAAUGUUUUUGUAAUGAUCUGUUACUUCUGACAGAAUUAGACUAUUGUAUGUCUCUGAAGUAGGCUACAUUUCAGUAUGUCAGGACGUGUCUCUCUGUCACUCAGUGUGAAUCUCUUUAUUUACAGCAGUGGUUCCCAACCUGGGGGACUAGGACCACUGGUAGUACAUCUCCUAUCCACAGACCUACUGUGUACAAGGUUAUUUCAUUGAUAAUGGUUUAUACUGUGAGCUAAGUCAGCACCUGUCUGUUAUUGUUAUUUAUUGUUAUGUUUACAAAGUGAGUAAGAUUGCAUGAUAAAUAUAUUUAUGCACAUUUCAUGACAGACCUUUGUCUACAUUGCUCUUCUGCAAAGUAAACAAUGUAGCUUCUUGGACCAAUGAUGCCUGAACUGUGUUACAGCAGAAUGUUCUGUAUUUGCGUGUUCAUGUUUGAUGUGGGAUUAAGAAUUUAGGAGGAGGGGUUAUUAAGAAUUGCGGGCAGUAAGCAGGUAACAAACAGCUGACCCACCAAUACUGUCUUGGGUGUUUAUGUGGAGGUGUGACAUUAAAAACAGAAUCACAACAAGAUAAAACGGUUAUCACAGAAUUUGGAGAAAAUAUUUUCCCUACACAAGGAAGAGUUUAAUGGCACAAGCAUCUUGUGAAAUCAUAAUUGAAAUGCAGAGACUUUGUAAAUGUGAGUAGUUUGUGAACUAAUGAUCAAUUCUGUGCAGGCUGUCUGGUCACAAAGGAAGGCUGUGUUUCUCUGGUCUCAGCCAUGAAAUCAAACCCCUCACAUCUGAAAGAACUGGAUCUGAGCUACAAUCACCCAGGAGGCUUGGGAGUCAGACUGCUCUCUGCUGGACUGGAGGAUUCACACUGGAGACUGGAGAAACUCAAGUAAGUCCUGUAGAUGUUUUCUCUUAUGGAUCAUGGUGGAGAGUGGAGGUUGAAAUCAGGACUAAAGAAAUGUUUGUGAUUUAUUAUACAUAAUACAUAUACAGCUGGUGUGUGUGUCUUUAAGUGUGUGUGUGUUUGUGUU